AAGUGUUACAGCUCUUAGAAUUUGUCUAGCAGGCUCUCUGGUUUUUGCCAGAAUGCCCUC
ensembl:snRNA U7 U7 small nuclear RNA